ensembl:lncRNA
CUCCUGUUAUAGUACCUUCACUACACCCUACACUACUCCUGUUACAGUACCUUCACUACACCCUACACUAUUCCUGUUAUAGUACCUUCACUACACCCUACACUACUCCUGUUACAGUACCUUCACUACACCCUACACUACUCCUGUCACAGUACAUUCAAUAAGGUCUGUCCUCAGUCUGUUCUCUCUGUGCUGGUUCUAGUAUACACCUCCUCUUUCUCUACAAACACACACACUGACAAACACACAUUACAAACACACACUACACACACACACACACACUGUCAAACACACACAUACACACACACAAACACUGACAAACACACAUUACACACUGAGACACACACACUACACACUGACAAACACACAUUACACACACACACUGACAACCACACACUACACACACACACACACACACUGACAAACACACACUAGAAGCACACACACGCACAUGAACAAACACACACAAACACUCCACAUUUACACUGAUUUAAACAUAUGUUUUAAUCUCAAAGGUACAACUGACUAUUAUGUCAUGACUGUCUUCAUUAUUAUAACAGACUAAAUGAAUCCAAUAUGCUUUGACAAACACAUAUUUAAAGGUACAACUGACUAUUAUGUCAUUACUGUCUUCAUUAUUAUAACAGACUAAAUGAAUCCAAUAUGCUUUGACAAACACAUAUUUAAAGGUACAACUGACUAUUAUGUCAUUACUGUCUUCAUUAUUAUAACAGACUAAAUGAAUCCAAUAUGCUUUGACAAACACAUAUUUAAAGGUACAACUGACUAUUAUGUCAUUACUGUCUUCAUUAUUAUAACAGACUAAAUGAAUCCAAUAUGCUUUGACAAACACAUAUUUACAUGAAUAUUUGCAAAAAUGUUGCUUGACUUUCACAACAUCUGGAGAUACAGAUUUAUUUUAAACCCAGAUGUUCAUAUUUUACAUUAUAUUCAAUAAAACUACAUGAGCUGUUUUAAUACAAUGUGUCAAGGAGGAUUUGAAACAGGAAAGGGAUUGUUUUUUAAAUGUCGUUCCAAGAUGGUGGCUCUGUGGUGACAACCCUUCGUCUCUCUACAGGGAGCUUCUCUUCAUCCCAGAUGUCACCUUGUUCUCUAUAGAGCACUGCCUUUAUCCAGGGUCCAUAUGGGGGAUACAUAAUAGGGUGUCAUUUGGGACACAUUCCUUGUAUAUAUUCUAUAGUACUACAUUAUUGUGGGUAGCUGGGCUGUAGAGUAGAGGACAUCUUCUGGAGUGUCUUUAGAGAGGUGUACAGCAGGGUAUCUUGUAGAUUCUACAGUAUCUUUGGGUAGCUGGGCUGUAGAGUAGAGGGCAUCUUCUGGAGUGUCUUUAGAGAGGUGUACAGCAGGGUAUCUUGUAGAUUCUACAGUAUCUUUGGGUAGCUGGGCUGUAGAAUAGAUGGAAUCAUCCUGGGUUCCACUGGCUGUUGGAGGACUUGAGGAGACUCUAGAAUCUGUAGGUAGAUCCACAUUGGAGUAGAUGAGAGAAGCUGGGUGAUCUGCAGUAGAAUAUGGAUUUAUAUCAUCUUUGGGAAGUCCAUAGUAGAAUAACAUGGCAGGUUAUGAUAAUGAACGUGGGAGGUUAGUAGAAAUAAAAUAGCAGGUUAGGAAAAUGUACAUUGCCAUUCAGGAUAACUAACGUGACAGGUUAGGAAAAUCAGGUUAAGGUUAGGAAAAGAGGGUCAGCUAAAAUGCAACAAGGAAGCAGCAAGCAGCCACUCAAAUAGACAUUAAGUGGCCAACAAACUGCCCAAUUAGCUGUUAUGUUUCCAUCGACCCAUUUAUGUUGCUCUUCCCACUUAUUUGUCAACGCCCACUUUCAAACACACUCCACCUAUGCAGUUACACAUGAAUCUGUGGAAUACCUGUGGCAGAGCUAGCAGGGUAGGUUGUAGAUGCUUGGCCAGCAGGGUAGGUUGUAGAGGAAUGACCAGUAGGGUAGGUUGUAGAGGCUUGGUCAGCAGGGUAGGUUGUAGAGGCUUGGUCAGCAGGGUAGGUUGUAGAGUUGUUAGGUGAUUUGACAGUAGAGUAGACUACAGAGAUGACCACAGGAAGUGUGUCUGUCUGUCUGUCUGCCUCUCUGAUCUCCUCGUACACACAGACAACCUGCAUAGAGAACCAAUGACAAUUACUACAUAUAUGGUCAAUAUGGAAAAGAGUGGAGGGCCCUCAGCCAAUGUGAGUCAAGGUUCAAACCAAAAAAUGUAAAUGAAGAACUACAUUGUUAAUAUGGCUGCAUUUACACAGGCAGCCCUUUAAUUGGCUAAAUAUGUAAUCUGAUUGGUCAAAAGACCAAUCAUUAAGAUCAGAAUUGGGCUGCCUGUGUAAACGCAGCCUAUGAGUCUGAGAAUCCAUCAUGUGUUGAAACUGUCUAAUGAACAAGUGUUGUUUGUAGGAGGUUCUUCCUGUUGACAGAUUGAGGAAUGAUAACAGACUACAGUAGAAUCCCACUAGAGGCUGUAGACUCACACACUCAACCCUUAAUGUUUAGUUUACCACCUCCCUGUCUAUCACCUCUACAC